rnacentral:rRNA from 1 species
UGAGUAAUGUCUGGGAAACUGCCUGAUGGAGGGGGAUAACUACUGGAAACGGUAGCUAAUACCGCAUAACGUCGCAAGACCAAAGAGGGGGACCUUCGGGCCUCUUGCCAUCAGAUGUGCCCAGAUGGGAUUAGCUAGUAGGUGGGGUAAUGGCUCACCUAGGCGACGAUCCCUAGCUGGUCUGAGAGGAUGACCAGCCACACUGGAACUGAGACACGGUCCAGACUCCUACGGGAGGCAGCAGUGGGGAAUAUUGCACAAUGGGCGCAAGCCUGAUGCAGCCAUGCCGCGUUGUGUGAAAAAGGGCCUUCGGGUUGUAAAGCACUUUCAGCGAGGAGGAAGGUGGUGAGCUUAAUACGCUCAUCAAUUGACGUUACUCGCAGAAGAAGCACCGGCUAACUCCGUGCCAGCAGCCGCGGUAAUACGGAGGGUGCAAGCGUUAAUCGGAAUUACUGGGCGUAAAGCGCACGCAGCGGUUUGUUAAGUCAGAUGUGAAAUCCCCGGG